ACCUAUAUGUCGUUGCCAGCAGCGGAUGGCAUGCGAAGGGGGCUAGGGUUGUGCGGAUUUACUCGGCGGAAAGCGCACGUGGGGGGAUUGGUCAGUUAGGUGUUAAAUCCCAUGGCGUAACCCUGGAACUGCCUUUAAUUCUGCCAGUCGUGAGUAUGGAGGAGGUGAGUGGAAUUGCGAGUGUAGAGGUGAAAUUCGUAGAUAUGUGGAGGAAUACCGAUGGCGAAGGCAGCCCCCUGGGAUAAUACUGACGCUCAGACACGAAAGCGUGGGGAGCAAACAGGAUUAGAUACCCGGUAGC
rnacentral:rRNA from 1 species